GACGAACGCUGGCGGCGUGCUUAACACAUGCAAGUCGAACGGAAAGGCCCUGCUUUUGUGGGGUGCUCGAGUGGCGAACGGGUGAGUAACACGUGAGUAACCUGCCCUUGACUUUGGGAUAACUUCAGGAAACUGGGGCUAAUACCGGAUAGGAGCUUCUGCUGCAUGGUGGGGGUUGGAAAGUUUCGGCGGUUGGGGAUGGACUCGCGGCUUAUCAGCUUGUUGGUGGGGUAGUGGCUUACCAAGGCUUUGACGGGUAGCCGGCCUGAGAGGGUGACCGGCCACAUUGGGACUGAGAUACGGCCCAGACUCCUACGGGAGGCAGCAGUGGGGAAUAUUGCACAAUGGGCGGAAGCCUGAUGCAGCAACGCCGCGUGCGGGAUGACGGCCUUCGGGUUGUAAACCGCUUUCGCCUGUGACGAAGCGUGAGUGACGGUAAUGGGUAAAGAAGCACCGGCUAACUACGUGCCAGCAGCCGCGGUGAUACGUAGGGUGCGAGCGUUGUCCGGAUUUAUUGGGCGUAAAGGGCUCGUAGGUGGUUGAUCGCGUCGGAAGUGUAAUCUUGGGGCUUAACCCUGAGCGUGCUUUCGAUACGGGUUGACUUGAGGAAGGUAGGGGAGAAUGGAAUUCCUGGUGGAGCGGUGGAAUGCGCAGAUAUCAGGAGGAACACCAGUGGCGAAGGCGGUUCUCUGGGCCUUUCCUGACGCUGAGGAGCGAAAGCGUGGGGAGCGAACAGGCUUAGAUACCCUGGUAGUCCACGCUGUAAACGGUGGGUACUAGGUGUGGGGUCCAUUCCACGGGUUCCGUGCCGUAGCUAACGCUUUAAGUACCCCGCCUGGGAGUACGGCCGCAAGGCUAAAACUCAAAGGAAUUGACGGGGGCCCCGCACAAGCGGCGGAGCAUGCCGGAUUAAUUCGAUGCAACGCGUAGAACCUUACCUGGGUUUGACAUGGAUCGGGAGCGCUCAGAGAUGGGUGUGCCUCUUUUGGGGUCGGUUCACAGGUGGUGCAUGGCUGUCGUCAGCUCGUGUCGUGAGAUGUUGGGUUAAGUCCCGCAACGAGCGCAACCCUUGUUCACUGUUGCCAGCACGUUAUGGUGGGGACUCAGUGGAGACCGCCGGGGUCAACUCGGAGGAAGGUGGGGAUGACGUCAAGUCAUCAUGCCCCUUAUGUCCAGGGCUUCACGCAUGCUACAAUGGCUGGUACAGAGAGUGGCGAGCCUGUGAGGGUGAGCGAAUCUCGGAAAGCCGGUCUCAGUUCGGAUUGGGGUCUGCAACUCGACCUCAUGAAGUCGGAGUCGCUAGUAAUCGCAGAUCAGCAACGCUGCGGUGAAUACGUUCCCGGGGCUUGUACACACCCCCGUCAAGUCAUGAAAGUUGGUAACACCCGAAGCCGGUGGCCUAACCGUUGUGGGGGAGCCCGUCGAAGGUGGGACUGGUGAUUAGGACUA
rnacentral:rRNA from 1 species